rnacentral:rRNA from 1 species
AUUGAACGCUGGCGGCAUGCUUUACACAUGCAAGUCGAACGGCAGCGCGGGCUUCGGCCUGGCGGCGAGUGGCGAACGGGUGAGUAAUGCAUCGGAACGUGCCCAUUAGUGGGGGAUAGCCCGGCGAAAGCCGGAUUAAUACCGCAUACUACCUGAGCGUGAAAGCGGGGGACCGAAAGGCCUCGCGCUAUUUGAGCGGCCGAUGUCGGAUUAGCUAGUUGGUGGGGUAAAGGCUUACCAAGGCGACGAUCCGUAGCUGGUCUGAGAGGACGACCAGCCACACUGGGACUGAGACACGGCCCAGACUCCUACGGGAGGCAGCAGUGGGGAAUUUUGGACAAUGGGGGCAACCCUGAUCCAGCCAUGCCGCGUGAGGGAAGAAGGCCUUCGGGUUGUAAACCGCUUUUGUUCGGGAAGAAAUCCUAUGGGCUAAUACCCCGGGGGGAUGACGGUACCGGAAGAAUAAGCACCGGCUAACUACGUG